GUCUGUGGGAUAGCUCAGUUGGUAGAGCAUAAGGUUCUUCAUCUCAAGGCCGUGGGUUCAAGCCCCACCUUGGGCA